CCUUCUUCUCUUUCCUUGGACCAACUAGAAGACGUCGGAGACUAGGUCUGAUUCCGUCCGGCCGGCCGUGAUCCCAGAUUUUUCUAAUCCUUCCUGAGAUGCACUCCCGUGUUGGCAAGUGCUGACUCCCCAAAUUGGAUAUGCCUCUUUCCGUCAGAUCCUUAUUAAGCAAUGAUUUGCCCUUUAAUAUAAUGGCUGCUGCUUGAAUUAGUAUUCCAUCUAUCCGUCCUGGAGGUGCAGGGAGCCGGGGAAAGUAAGUCACGGCGUGGGUCAGAUCUUGUUUAGAUAUCAUCUCUCGUUGCAGACUGUGUACCUUGGGAUCAUCACUUCCACCUUGAUGGAGGAAGCCACGGCACCAUCUUCGUCUGAAUCAUGUAGAAUGCCUCUAUCACAGUUGGCCAAAAAAAAACCUAUUUGAACCUGAUACUAGUGAGAUAAUCAAUCCAGUGAUUACGAAGUUAGGCGUACCACACAGCCAUCCUGAGCUUGGACCGUGAGGAUGGAUGGCAGGGCCAUCUUUUCCAUCUCGUUGUUAUCAACCUCCCGCACCUGGCCCAGACUUGGUGAAGCUCCAACCCUUGGGACACAUAUGAUAUCCAAAGGUUUAGGCUGGGAGAAUCAUGAGGUUGGAUAUGCCCCAAUGCCUCUUGGAUAUAUCGAAUGGGGUACUAAUGUCUUGAACAAACAUCAUACCCACCUGAAGGGGAGUGAAGAGGGUGUGGAUUACGUCUAUGGAGCCAUUUAUUGCUCUUUAGGCGACUAUUCCGUCUCCCUCCUCUUUUAAGGUCUUUAUUGGAGAAAUAGGAUCCCAACACCAACAUGUUUUUGUUUUCGUGUGGUGAGCGUACAGUCACACUUCUUGAUAUGCAUCAGAUCGCGGGGUUGCCCCUUGAUGGUGAACCUUAUGAAGAAUAUGUUCCCCUAGCUGAUGAGUUGGAUCCUUCGACUCUUUUGUACCCCAACUUCCUGCCUCGGCUCCUAGAAAGUUGGACCAAGCUUGCUGUGGGUGGCAAAGUAGGUUUCAAGGAAUGGUGUGACUUCUUUCACAAUAGUGGAGUAGACUCCUUUGCUACCAACAGCUUAGAAGACCAGCGCAUGUAUACUGCAGCUUUCCUCGCCAUAUGGCUUUGCCUCUACGUCGUUGUUGGUGGUGGGCCAUAUAUUCACCCUGGGGUAUUAGUGAUAGCAGCAUGGAUUUCCCUAGGACGACGCAUCUCUCUGGGUCCACCUGCUCUUUGCUCCCUUUAUUACUCACUUCGGCGAAUUUGUACUCAUCCUAUUGGUCCCUCGUUCAUACAUAGAAUUUGGCCGGUCCACUUCCUUGCUGGACGGAUGGGUGUGUACCUCAAGAAACCCUAUGGAAACAGAGCAAAAAAGCCACAUUUCCCGAGCCCUAAACUUUUGGCAGUGCAACCUAAUAUGGUGAAAACCAUGUUUAAGACGCCACGUGAUUGUACUCUUGAAGAAGCACAUGCUUUCCUCGAUGAUUAUAAGAAUAUUGCUUGGAACCCCUAUUACCUCACUAUGGAAGGUGUGUUCAAACCCAAGAGGGCGUUCUUAAUUUCUAUUCAUCGAGGCAUGCUGCCGUGGAUGCGUGGUACU